GCCCUAUUCAAAAAUUUUUGAAGCUAAUUCUACUAGAAGCAGGAAUAUUUGAACUGGAAGACUUGUCUAUGGAAUAAUCUGAACAUGGAAAGGCUCAGCCUUGGGAAGACUAAUUUGGAAAAGUCUGGACCUGGGGAAAGGUCAGAAGACCUGGAUUACGGAACAUUUUAAAAUACCUGGAUAUCGUAGACACCAGAAGACCUGAAUGUUAGAAGACCAGUACACUGGAGACAUUGGAAGACGUGGAUAUUGAGCCUACUUUUGGAAGACUGAGUUGUUGUUGGAAGACAUGAAGAUGCUGGAAGACGUGGAGAUGCUGGAAGACGAGGAGAUGCUGGAAGACGAGGAGAUGCUGGAAGACGAGCAGAUGCUGGAAGCCCUGGAGAUGCUGGAAGACCUGGAGGUGUAGGAAGACAUGGAUUUUCUGGAAGACAUGGCACUGUUGGAAGACAUGGAUUUUCUGGAAGACGCACCCUUUGUUGGAAGACGCACCUUGUUGGAAGACGUGGAUUUUCCGGAAGACGCACCCUUUGUUGGAAGACGUGGAUUUUCCGGAAGACGCACCCUUCUUGGAAGACGUGGAUUUUCUGGAAGACAUGGUUUUGUGGGAAGACAUGGAUUUUCUGGAAGACACAGGUUUGUUGGAAGACAUGGAUUUUCUGGAAGAUGCACCUUUGUUGGAAGACAUGGAUUUUUUGGAAGACGUGACUUUGUUGGAAGACUUGGAUCUUCUGGAAGACAUGGGUAGGCUGGAAGACAUGAAUUUGAUGGAAGACGUAUUUCUUGGAAGACGUGGAUUUUCUGGAAGACAUGGAUUUGAUGGAAGACGUGGAUUUUCUGGAAGACGUGGGUUUGAUGGAAGACGUGAAUUUGAUGGAAGACAUGGAUUUUCUGGAAGACUUGGAGGUCAUUGGAAGACAUGGAUUUCCUGGAAGACAUGGCUUUUCUGGAAGACAUGGAUUUUCAGGAAGACCCGAAUUGUCCGGAAGACCUGGAUUAUUUGGAAGACACAGAUUUGCUGGAAGACAUGAAUUUUUCUGGAAGACAAUCUCUAGGAAGACAUAAAUUUGCUGGAAGACCUGAAUUUAGUGGAAGACAUGAAUUUUCUGGAAGACGUAGAUUUACCGGAAGACCUGGAUUCAGUGGAAGACAUGGAUUGUCCGGAAGACAUAGAUUUCUGGAAGACUGGGUUAGCUGGAAGACCUUGAUGUUGUUGGAAGACUUGGAAUUGCUGGAAGACCUGGAGUCACUGGAAGACCUUGACACUGGCGCCAUCAGAAACCCUGGAUAUUGGAGACAUUGGAAGCACAGGAUGUUGGAGACAGUGGAAGCCCUAGAUUUUGAGGACAUUUGAUAUUCUACACACUGGAGACUUUGGGGGCCCUGGGUGUCAAAAUUAAUGGAUAUUGAAAGGCUUGGGUGCUGGAGGUCCUGAACACUAGAGACACUGCAAGUCCUUUACCUUAAAAGCCCUAAAUAUUGGAAGAUAUGAACAAGAGACGAUCGAAACAUUUAGAAACCUUAAAAUCAGAAGCCCUGUAUAUUGGGAGACACUGGAAAACCUGGAUAUUGAUAUUUUCAUGUUAAAAAGAGUUUUUAGAAGAUGUAAUUUUCUUGUUUCUGGAAGUCAAGGAUGUUGACAGCCCUGAAAAUUAAAAGAUCAGGAUAUUAAGAGACAUAGCUAUUGAGACAUUGGGGAUGUUGAAUGUUAGAAGACCAAGUUCUUAGAGAUAUUGAAAGACUUGGGCAUCACAGGAACUUCUAAUGACAAAACAUUGUAAAUGAGGAUUUAGGAGACACUGUAAGUUGUAGGAACUGAACUAUCUAUGUGCUGUAAGAUAUUAGAAGAGCUAGACUUGGACACAAUGAAAUACAGGGACUCCAGAAGACCUGUAUCUAGGAUACACUGGAGGAUUGGGACAUAGACAAAUUGGAAGUUAU
rnacentral:lncRNA from 1 species